rnacentral:rRNA from 1 species
CCCUUAGAUGUCCUGGGCCGCACGCGCGUUACACUGAUGCAUUCAACGAGCUUAUAACCUUGGCCGAGAGGCCUGGGCAAUCUUGUUAACGUGCAUCGUGAUAGGGAUAGAUUAUUGAAAUUAUUAAUCUUGAACGAGGAAUUCCUAGUAAACGCAAAUCAUCAAUUUGCAUUGAUUACGUCCCUGCACUUUGUACACACCGCCCGUCGCACCUACCGAUUGAAUGGUCCGGUGAGGACUCGGGAUUUUUACCAGUUUCCUUCAUUGGGAAUUGGUGAGGAGAACUUGUCCAAACCUUAUCAUUUAGAGGAAGGUGAAGUCGUAACA